rnacentral:tRNA from 1 species
GGAGAUGUAGCUCAAUUGUCAGAGUGCUUGUCUAGCAAGCAGGAGGCCUUGGCUUUGGUCCCCAGCACCUCGU